GUGCCAGCGCCGCGGUAAUACCGGCAGCCCGAGUGAUGGCCGAUCUUAUUGGGCCUAAAGCGUCCGUAGCUGGCCUCGCAAGUCCGUCGGGAAAUCCAUCAGCCCAACUGAUGGGCGUCCGGCGGAAACUACAAGGCUUGGGACCGGAAGGCUCGAGGGGUACGUCUGGGGUAGGUGUGAAAUCCCGUAAUCCCGAACGGACCACCGAUGGCGAAAGCACUCUGAGAAGACGGCUUCGACAGUGAGGGACGAAAGCUAAGAUCGCGAACCGGAUUAGAAACCCGUGUAGUCC
rnacentral:rRNA from 1 species